CAGCCAGAUCAUCCUGUAGCCCAAAACUGAUAAAGGUAAGCAGAGCCAAAGUCAUAUUACCCUGUAGCUAAGCAGGAUUGAGCCUGGUCAGUACUUACAAGGAAGACCACCAGGGAGAAACCUGCUAGAUCUAUUGC
rnacentral:rRNA from 1 species